AAAAGGGAAUCAUGCCAAUCCUGAGAUAGAAAUGAAAAAAAAAACGUAUUUAAAAAAAACAAAACUGAAUUUAUUGAACAUUGAAAAAAUCACCUAUAACAUGUGUUAACCUUUUUCCAUCCCAUACUCUGUUUGUUUUCUUUUAAAGGACAACUGUUAUGUCAAAAUAUUUUUUUAAUAUCCUUUCAUUAAAUGGACACUAUAGGCACCAAAAC